rnacentral:rRNA from 1 species
AUUGAACGCUGGCGGCAGGCCUAACACAUGCAAGUCGAGCGGAUGAAGGGAGCUUGCUCCUGGAUUCAGCGGCGGACGGGUGAGUAAUGCCUAGGAAUCUGCCUGGUAGUGGGGGAUAACGUCCGGAAACGGGCGCUAAUACCGCAUACGUCCUGAGGGAGAAAGUGGGGGAUCUUCGGACCUCACGCUAUCAGAUGAGCCUAGGUCGGAUUAGCUAGUUGGUGGGGUAAAGGCCUACCAAGGCGACGAUCCGUAACUGGUCUGAGAGGAUGAUCAGUCACACGGGAACUGAGACACGGCCCAGACUCCGACGGGAGGAAGCAGUGGGGAAUAUUGGACGAUGGGCGAAAGGCUGAUCCAGCCAUGCCGCGGGUGUGAAGAAGGUGUUCGGAUUGGAAAGCACUUUAAGUUGGGGGGAAGGGCAGUAAGUUAAUACCUUGCUGUUUUGACGUUACCAACAGAAUAAGCACCGGCUAACUUCGUG